rnacentral:rRNA from 1 species
CACACUGUAAAUGAUGGAUACUAGGUGUGGGGGGACUGACCCCUUCCGUGCCGGAGUUAACACAAUAAGUAUCCCACCUGGGGAGUACGGUCGCAAGAUUAAAACUCAAAGGAAUUGACGGGGACCCGCACAAGCAGUGGAGUAUGUGGAUUAAUUCGAUGCAACGCGAAGAACCUUACCAAGGCUUGACAUCCUACUGACGAAGUAGAGAUACAUUAGGUGCCCUUAUGGGAAAGUAGAGACAGGUGG